rnacentral:rRNA from 1 species
UACGGAGGGUGCGAGCGUUACCCGGAUUUACUGGGCGUAAAGGGCGCGUAGGCGGCCUAGCAAGUCUGGUGUGAAAGCCCAGGGCUCAACCCUGGAAGGGCACUGGAAACUGUUAGGCUUGAGUUCCGGAGAGGAGGGGGGAAUUCCCGGUGUAGCGGUGAAAUGCGUAGAUAUCGGGAGGAAUACCGGUGGCGAAGGCGCCCCUCUGGACGGAAACUGACGCUGAGGCGCGAAAGCGUGGGGAGCAAACAGG